GAGUUUGAUCAUGGCUCAGGAUGAACGCUGGCGGCGUGCCUAAUACAUGCAAGUCGAGCGAACAGACGAGGAGCUUGCUCCUCUGACGUUAGCGGCGGACGGGUGAGUAACACGUGGAUAACCUACCUAUAAGACUGGGAUAACUUCGGGAAACCGGAGCUAAUACCGAAUAAUAUAUUGAACCGCAUGGUUCAAUAGUGAAAAACGGUUUUGCUGUCACUUAUAGAUGGAUCCGCGCCGCAUUAGCUAGUUGGUAGGGUAACGGCUUACCAAGGCGACGAUGCGUAGCCGACCUGAGAGGGUGAUCGGCCACACUGGAACUGAGACACGGUCCAGACUCCUACGGGAGGCAGCAGUAGGGAAUCUUCCGCAAUGGGCGAAAGCCUGACGGAGCAACGCCGCGUGAGUGAUGAAGGUCUUCGGAUCGUAAAACUCUGUUAUUAGGGAAGAACAAAUGUGUAAGUAACUAUGCACGUCUUGACGGUACCUAAUCAGAAGCCACGGCUAACUACGUGCCAG
rnacentral:rRNA from 1 species